CACGCCGUAAACGAUGAGUACUAAGUGUUGGGGAGACUCAGUGCUGAAGCUAACGUAUUAAGUACUCCGCCUGGGUAGUACGUGCGCAAGCAUGAAACUCAAAGGAAUUGACGGGACCCCGCACAAGCGGUGGAUCAUGUUGUUUAAUUCGAUGAUACGCGAAGAACCUUACCAGGCCUUGACAUCUUCUGCAAAGCUAUAGAGAUAUAGUGGAGGUUAACAGAAUGACAGGUGG
rnacentral:rRNA from 1 species